CCUACGGGAGGCAGCAGUGGGGAAUCUUGCGCAAUGGGCGAAAGCCUGACGCAGCCAUGCCGCGUGAAUGAUGAAGGUCUUAGGAUUGUAAAAUUCUUUCACCGGGGACGAUAAUGACGGUACCCGGAGAAGAAGCCCCGGCUAACUUCGUGCCAGCAGCCGCGGUAAUACGAAGGGGGCUAGCGUUGCUCGGAAUUACUGGGCGUAAAGGGAGCGUAGGCGGAUAGUUUAGUCAGAGGUGAAAGCCCAGGGCUCAACCUUGGAAUUGCCUUUGAUACUGGCUAUCUUGAGUUUGGGAGAGGUGAGUGGAACUCCGAGUGUAGAGGUGAAAUUCGUAGAUAUUCGGAAGAACACCAGUGGCGAAGGCGACUCACUGGCCCAAUACUGACGCUGAGGCUCGAAAGCGUGGGGAGCAAACAGGAUUAGAUACCCUGGUAGUCCACGCCGUAAACGAUGAGUGCUAGUUGUCGGCANNNANGNAUGUCGGUGCGCNGCUACGACAUAGACACNCCGCCGUCGGGAGGUACGGUCGCGAGAAGUUAAACGUUAAAGUAAAGUUAGUUAGGUCGUUGAGACGUUGCGACGGACGACGACGAGGGAGGAGG
rnacentral:rRNA from 1 species